GACGAACGCUGGCGGCGUGCUUAACACAUGCAAGUCGAACGGAAAGGCCCUGCUUUUGUGGGGUGCUCGAGUGGCGAACGGGUGAGUAACACGUGAGUAACCUGCCCUUGACUUUGGGAUAACUUCAGGAAACUGGGGCUAAUACCGGAUAGGAGCUCCUGCUGCAUGGUGGGGGUUGGAAAGUUUCGGCGGUUGGGGAUGGACUCGCGGCUUAUCAGCUUGUUGGUGGGGUAGUGGCUUACCAAGGCUUUGACGGGUAGCCGGCCUGAGAGGGUGACCGGCCACAUUGGGACUGAGAGACGGCCCAGACGCCUACGGGAGGCAGCAGUGGGGAAUAUUGCACAAUGGGCGGAAGCCUGAUGCAGCAACGCCGCGUGCGGGAUGACGGCCUUCGGGUUGGAAACCGCUUUCGCCUGUGACGAAGCGUGAGUGACGGUAAUGGGUAAAGAAACACCGGCGAACUACGC
rnacentral:rRNA from 1 species